rnacentral:rRNA from 1 species
GACGAACGCUGGCGGCGUGCUUAACACAUGCAAGUCGAACGGUAAGGCUCCAGCUUGCUGGGGUACACGAGUGGCGAACGGGUGAGUAACACGUGGGUGACCUGCCCUGCACUUCGGGAUAAGCCUGGGAAACUGGGUCUAAUACCGGAUAGGACCGCACCGUGAGGGCGUGGUGGAAAGUUUUUUCGGUGUGGGAUGGGCCCGCGGCCUAUCAGCUUGUUGGUGGGGUAAUGGCCUACCAAGGCGGCGACGGGUAGCCGGCCUGAGAGGGUGGACGGCCACAUUGGGACUGAAACACGGCCCAGACUCCUACGGGAGGCAGCAGUGGGGAAUAUUGCACAAUGGGCGGAAGCCUGAUGCAGCGACGCCGCGUGGGGGAUGACGGCCUUCGGGUUGUAAACUCCUUUCACCAUCGACGAAGGGUUUCUGACGGUAGAUGGAGAAGAAGCACCGGCUAACUACUUGCCAGCAGGCGCGGUAAUACGUAGGGUGCGAGCGUUGUCCGGAAUUACUGGGCGUAAAGAGCUCGUAUGUGGGUUGUCACGUCGUCUGUAAAAUUCCGGGGCUUAACUCCGGGCGUGCAGGCGAUACACGCAUAACUUCAGUACUGUAGGGUAGACUGGAUUUCCUGGGGUAGCGGCGAAAUGCUCAUAUAUCAGGAGGAACUCCGAUUGCGAAAGCGGGAUCUCUGGGGCAUAACUGAUUCUGAGUAUGCAAUGCCUGUGGAGCUAAAAGGAUGAGAACCCCUGUUAAUCCAUGCCUUAAAACGUGGGCCCCCGAGAGGGGUUUCCUUCCACGGGAUCCGUGCCGUAGCCUAACGCAUUAAGCGCCCCGCCUGGGGAGUACGACCGCAAGGCUAAAACUCAAAGGAAUUGACGGGGGCCCGCACAAGCGGCGGAGCAUGUCGAUUAAUUCGAUGCAACGCGAAGAACCUUACCUGGGCUUGACAUAUACAGGAUCGCGCCAGAGAUGGUGUUUCCCUUGUGGCUUGUAUACAGGUGGUGCAUGGUCGUCGUCAGCUCGUGUCGUGAGAUGUUGGGUUAAGUCCCGCAACGAGCGCAACCCUUGUCUUAUGUUGCCAGCACGUUGUGGUGGGGACUCGUAAGAAACUGCCGGGGUUAACUCGGAGGAAGGUGGGGAGGACGUCAAAUCAUCAUGCCCCUUAUGUCCAGGGCUUCACACAUGCUACAAUGGUCGGUACAGUGGGUUGCCAGUCCGUGAGGGCGAGCUAAUCCCGCAAAGCCGGUCUCAGUUCGGAUCGGGGUCUGCAACUCGACCCCGUGAAGUCGGAGUCGCUAGUAAUCGCAGAUCAGCAACGCUGCGGUGAAUACGUUCCCGGGCCU